GCCUCUCCCAUCACUUCUUUCUGACUUAUCCUAAACUCAUCUCAUAGAGAAUCCUUUUCUUUUCUUACCUGCAACUCUUUCUCCAUCUUGAAUCUUGAUCUCCUCCGCUAAACUAGAAACUGAAACCCUCUCCGAUAAUAAUGGCGAAAUAGAAAAAUCAACCAGGGAAUGUCUCGAUCCUAUACCCAAACCCUUUUCUUCAUCUACUACAACAGUUUUUUUCUCACUUUCAAAACGAAAAACCUUAUCUUCUGAACUAUUUUCAUCAUCAUUAAAUAAAAUCUUUACUAUCUCUCUAAAAACCCAAACAUUCCCAAUUUUUUGUUCAAUUCACCAGAUCUAUUCAAAGUUGAUUAGUAACUGGUGUUGUUUGUGAACCAUUUAAAAAAGUUACAAAAGAACACAAAUUGAAAACCUUAACUGGUAUUGGAUUUCUUUAUGUGAUGGGUAAUUCUCAGUAUUACAUCUACAAACAUCUAAUUGCAGACAUAUCGGUAUGAACAUGUGGAAUAUAUCUAGGUAGAGAAGGGACACGAAGCCGCUCGAGAAAUUGUAUGCUGGGCAGAACUGGGGGUUUGGAAUGGGGUGCUGGCUAUUACAAUUGAUAUAUUAACAAGGGAUGAAACGGCAACUUCAUUGUCUGAGGAAGAUCUAUUGGGGAUGAGUGGUAUUACUUAAUUUGUAUGUCCUUCACUCUCAGUUCUGGACAUUGUGGAGAAUUUGGUGUUGGUGGGUAGGUUUGAAGGAGGAGGAUCAUGUUAUAAGAGAGUAUUUUUGGUGUCUGUGGAGGAUUAGGAGGUGGUGGUGUUGGUGCUGCAGACGGUGAUGGACUAGGAGAGGCUGCUGGUCGAGGUAGAGGUGGUGGUCAUGGGCAUGAAUAAAUAUUGUAGACUCUUGUACAUCAAAGCCUGUUUGAACAUAAGAUAUUCUGAAAGUAUCUUAUUUUGUGUUGUUUGACAUUGCGCGCUCUUAAAGUUCUUACAUCACUGAUAUGUAUGGUGUCUGGCUAACCUUCUACUAUUUAUGCAGACAAAGGAUGGUGUUCACAAGCCUAAGGGCACAUGGAUACGGAGAAUGGGGAGUAUGUCGAAGACGAUGAGUUAUUGCCGCCCUGGUUUACCACCACAAGUUUUAUGCUCGCGAGGUGCUCGAUAGAAAUCCUGAAAGAAGAUAAAAGGUCCAAGCAAUUGUCCAGGAAACGCUGAAUAAACACGAGACACCUAAAUAACUUGCAACAAAAGAGAUGGUGUGGUUCAUGGUAGAAUGUCUUGUUUUGCUGUGAUUGGGUUCGAGCUGAAGAAAAAACAAAUGGAUCAUAUAUGGAUGCAGAGAUAGGUUCGUCAACUUCGGAAGGUUUAUGAGAAGCUAGCCAAAUUGUUUAUUGCGCUGAUGAAACUAGGAAGCAUUGGCAUCUUGUUUUAGAAUCUCCCAAACGAUCAGGCCUAAAUGUGAAUGCUUAUGAAGCUCCAUAUGUGUUUACCGCAUCUGUGAAUCAAGCUCCACUAAUUUUCAACAACUGUAGCUGACAAUGAGUAUUGGGAUAGGGAUCAGGUAAUAAUGCUUGUCUGAAUACCUGAAUUUUGCUUCUUUUUAUUUUCUCUAUGUACAUGGUGAUCUAGCUGAAUGCAUGGUCACCUCUUCAUGUAUCAAAAACAAGCUUAAACCAAGGAUCCAAGACCGUCAUUCAGUUGUUGCAGAUUAGUUUGGAAGAUUGUUAAUCUGGAUAGGGCGGAUACAUGUUUUGAUGAACAAGAGAUGGAUUGGUUUUAUUUUAUUUUAUUGUUUGUAUGUUGGCUUCAACCAAUUGUAAGAAGACAUCUUGAAGAACUUAAAAUGGUUUGAAUUCAGUAGUUGUGUAAAGUUUUUUUUUUGCGGUUUUGGCCUGAGUGGCAACUCAAUUCACAUGUGAAUUCAAUUAAUAGUGUGUAACAAGUUUCAAAUUUGAAUUGAAUGGUGAAUGUUUUGAUCA